GCGCCCACCCUCCCCCCCCUCUAAACCCCCCCCCCCCCCCCGCCCGCCGGGCGCUCCUGAUAUUUGAUUUGACCAUUUUCUACCAUGGCGCUCGGAUAGCCCGCUCCGCUCCCGACCCGAGCAUGCACGAUGCCCGUAUCUGCGGCCAUCCCCCAUUCCUCCCCCUUUAUCAUUCUUAUCAGUGCUCAAUGUGAUCGUUUUAAAUUAAGUGUCGUUAGUUGUUAAUCUCGUUGCCUUAUUUAUGUGUGUAGUUAAUUAUGGCUUGUGCGAAUAAAUCGGAUUACGACCGGAUUUGUCGAUUGUGCACCUCGAGUUUGGGGCAGGGGCCUUAUCACAUUUUCGACGAUGAUUUCUCCGAUCAACUCCUGCGGAAGAUUGAGGAUUGUUUGCCGAUCAAGGUAACUGAAGAAGAUGAUUUACCAAAAUCUGUUUGUGGUGAAUGUUACUUGAAAUUAGAUGACUUUUACAACUUCCGUGAAUCUUGUCGAAAAAACUGCCAAAUUAUUUGCCAAAACAGAGGUUCCGGCAUUGUUACUUAAGGUACCAGAGGUGCUAGAAAAACGUUUCGGAAACAAAUCUGCCAAUGAAAGGAAUAUCCAGGGGGAGUGUAGGGAUGAAAAAGAUGGCAGCUUGUUAUCUGUGAGCCAGAAGAAAGCCAGCAUGCCAAUGGUGACACCAUCGCUGACACGGCAUCUGACGAAGAUGAUGAAGAGUCAUUGCAUGGAAGAUCGAAAAAAUUGCCCGAAUUGGGGGAGCCCUGCUCAGAGAUUACGUCCUAAUGAAAGAAGAAACAUUUGACCUAGAUGUGAAAGAUACCAAGUAAGUUAUUUUCUCCAUGACCUAUUGGAACUAGCUUAUGAAUUUUAAGCUAUUAGUAAUAAUAGAUACUGGAAAUAAUAAACAUCAAUCAACAGUCCCAAAAAUUAAAAAAAAUUAAUUCUAAAAAUGUUAAGCCCUUGCUUGUAUUGUACUUUAAGUUUUUUAGCUUGAAGUUUAUUUACUCUCUUAAGUCUUUCACAGCCUUUUGAACCUUUUAACCACCAAUUUACUUCCUGACAAUAUUGAUUUGUGACAACAGUUGAAACUAAAAUUUUGUUUUUGCUUCUUUUUUUCGCUCUUUUCUCUGUUUACUCAACCAGUGUGAGCCAAAACUUCCAAAA
rnacentral:lncRNA from 1 species